UACGUAGGUCGCAAGCGUUGUCCGGAUUUACUGGGCGUAAAGAGCGCGCAGGCGGCUGGUCAAGUCCGAUGUGAAUCUCCCGGCUCAACUGGGAAACUGCAUCGGAAACUGAUCGGCUUGAAGAUGGGAGAGGGUAGUGGAAUUCCCGGUGUAGUGGUGAAAUGCGUAGAUAUCGGGAGGAACACCAGUGGCGAAGACGACUACCUGGCCCCAUUCUUGACGCUGAGGCGCGAAAGCUAGGGGAGCGAACGGG
rnacentral:rRNA from 1 species